AUCCUACCUUCCAUUCCAACUGUCACUCUGUGAGCUGAGAGAUUCAAAUUUGGUGACAGAUGAGAAGCUGUCACCCUCACACCUCGAGUGUUUGAGAAUGGGAAAUCUGAAUUGUUAUUUUGGAGGAUCUUGCUUCAGGAAUGAAAGAAGAAACAUUCAUCUAAUGUCAAGAAAAUCACCCACUAGCUGGGCCAGAAUAAUCCACUUCUGGCCACAUAAGAGGGUGCACCCUAUCAAUGACUCAGAAGAAGCUCCCACUGAGUCCCUGUUGGAAGACCUGGACCUGCCCAGUGACAGGGCAGACGAGAAGGCCCCGCCUACCCCCAAGGUUAAUGGGACAAAUGAUGAAAAUGCUACAUGUGUUGGAACCACUCCUCUGCUAACGGGAAAUCUAGCUGAUGCUGACGAAGAAGCUCCCCCUGUGGACCUGUUGGAGGACCUGACUGACGACAGGACAGAGGAAGAGAUCCCACUUACUGCCAAGGAGGAUGCAAGAGCUGGUGAAAACCCUCCCCCGGAGGAUUUGUUGAAGGACAGAGCAGAGGAGGAAGCUUCACCCAUCUCUAAGCUGGUCUCAGUAGAAAGUGAAAACGAAUGCAUUUUGGAAAGCAUAUAUGACAGUGGAAAUGAAUGCAACACAGACAAGAUGCUGGACAGCUCAUGGAGCAACCAGGAUGAAGAUGCUACAGAAUACUACUUCGAGUCUAAUGAAGAAUCGGAUCAGGAGAGCAACAGUCUGCAUGUUCUGCUCUGACACCUGUGAAGGCCUUGACCUUGGGGCCUCAUCCUGGGCCUCAGAGGGGAACGAAGCAGUACAGAGUCAGGAGGUUUCCAACUGGACAAGGAACAGGGUUGGCCUCACUGCUCAUCUCCUAAGGAACCUAAUUUAGUACAGCUUAGUGGUUUUUUUUUUUGUAUAGCUUUAGUAUUAUGUUCAGACAUAUGUUUUAUAUAUGCUGUGGAAGCUUUCUCUAUUAAAUGACAUUCAUCUAUCUAGUUGCUUUUCACAUAUUUUCCUAUAAAAAUCACCCUAAUCCGAGGUAGGACUAAAUGAAUUGCUGUCUUGCAUUCACCCUCGUGUCCACCACCAAGGUCACCCCCUCUCUUAUGUCACCGUCAUUCAGUCUUCAUUAUAUCAGGUGACUAUGAAUUUAGUCCAUACCAUCCGUCCUG
ensembl:lncRNA